UAAAUAAAGACGUUUUAUGAAGCACUCAAUCAAUUCAGUUUUGUCUACAAAGUUGCAAAUAUCAGAAUGAACCUCAAAGUAGUGAUUAGUUUGGCAGUGCUUUUGUUGGGGGUUUUGGGUGCAGUAAACGCAGAAGAUGAAGAAGUUUUUACUACUACUACUGAUACUACUACUACUACCACCACCACCUCUGAAGAAAGUUCAGAAACUGAAACUCCAAUAGAGGAACUGAAGCGUAGACAAAUGGGUGCUUUCGCACGAGCCAUGUGAACCGGAACAAGUUGGGGAAUAUAGAAAUACCAUCGUUGAAUUUAUUCGAAUUUACAAACGAAGCGAAUUAAAAUAAGAUGAAAAGUCGGUAAAUUA